rnacentral:rRNA from 1 species
ACUACGGGGGGCAGCAGUGAGGAAUAUUGGUCAAUGGACGAGAGUCUGAACCAGCCAAGUAGCGUGAAGGAUGACUGCCCUAUGGGUUGUAAACUUCUUUUAUAUGGGAAUAAAAUGUUCCACGUGUGGGAUUUUGUAUGUACCAUAUGAAUAAGAAUCGGCUAAAUCAGUGCCAGAAGCCGCGGUAAUACGGAGGAUCCUAGGGUUAUCCGGAUUUAUUGGGUUUAUAGUGAGCGUAGGUGGAUUGUUAAGUCAGUUGUGAAAGUUUGCGGCUCAACCGUAAAAUUGCAGUUGAAACGGGCAGUCUUGAGUACAGUAGAGGUGGGCGGAAUUCGUAGUGUAGCGGUGAAAUGCUUAGAUAUCACGAAGAACUCCGAUUGCGAAGGCAGUUCACUGGACUGCAACUGACACUGAGGCUCGAAAGUGUGGGUAUCAAACAGGAUUAGAUACCCGAGUAGUC